rnacentral:rRNA from 1 species
GGUGUGUAGGCGGUUGUUUAAGUUUGGUGUGAAAUCUCCCGGCUCAACUGGGAGGGUGCGCCGAAUACUGAAUGACUAGAGUGCGGGAGAGGAGAGUGGAAUUCCUGGUGUAGCGGUGAAAUGCGUAGAUAUCAGGAGGAACACCGGUGGUGUAGACGGCUCUCUGGACCGUAACUGACGCUGAGACACGAAAGCGUGGGUAGCAAACAGGAUUAGAUACCCUGGUAGUCCACGCCCUAAACGAUGCAUAUUUGGUGUGGGCAGUUCAUUCUGUCCGUGCCGGAGCUAACGCGUUAAAUAUGCCGCCUGGGGAGUACAGUCGCAAGGCUGAAACUCAAAGGAAUUGACGGGGGCCCGCACAAGCGGUGGAGCAUGUGGUUCAAUUCGACGCAACGCGAAGAACCUUACCUGGGCUCGAACGGCUGGUCAACGGCGGUGGAAACAUCGCUACCCCGCAAGGGGGUCCAGUCGAGGUGCUGCAUGGCUGUCGUCAGCUCGUGUCGUGAGAUGUUGGGUUAAGUCCCGCAACGAGCGCAACCCUUGUCCUGUGUUGCCAUCAUUCAGUUGGGAACUCGCAGGAGACCGCCAGGGAUAACCUGGAGGAAGGUGGGGAUGA